CGUGUAGGCGGUUGGUCAAGUCUGGUGUGAAAGCCCGGGGCUCAGCUCCGGAAGUGCAUCGGAAACUAGCCGACUGGAGCGCGAUAGAGGAGGGUGGAAUUCCUGGUGUAGCGGUGAAAUGCGUAGAUAUCAGGAGGAACACCGGCGGCGAAGGCGGCCCUCUGGAUCGUUGCUGACGCUGAGACGCGAAAGCGUGGGGAGCAAACAGGAUUAGAUACCCUGGUAGUCCACGCUGUAAACUAUGGGUACUAGGUGUUCGGGGUGUUGACCCCCUGAGUGCCGCAGCUAACGCAUUAAGUACCCCGCCUGGGGACUACGGCCGCAAGGUUAAA
rnacentral:rRNA from 1 species